rnacentral:rRNA from 1 species
GACGAACCGUGCGAACGUUGUUCGGAAUCACUGGGCUUAAAGGGCGCGUAGGCGGGCUGUCAAGUCUGGGGUGAAAUCCCGCGGCUCAACCGUGGAACUGCCUCAGAUACUGACGGCCUCGAGGGAGGUAGGGGCAUGCGGAACUGUAGGUGGAGCGGUGAAAUGCGUUGAUAUCUACAGGAACUCCGGUGGCGAAAGCGGCGUGCUGGACCUCUUCUGACGCUGAGGCGCGAAAGCUAGGGGAGCAAACGG